rnacentral:rRNA from 1 species
AUUGAACGCUGGCGGCAGGCCUAACACAUGCAAGUCGAACGAGUGGCGGACGGGUGAGUAAUGUCUGGAAAACUGCCUGAUGUAGGGGGAUAACUACUGGAAACGGUAGAUAAUACCGCAUACCAUCCGAUGGGCCCAGAUGGGAUUAGCUAGUUGGGGGGGUAACGGCUCACCAAGGCGACGAUCCCUAGCUGGUCCGAGAGGAUGACCGGCCACACUGGAACUGAGACACGGCCCAGACUCCUACGGGAGGCAGCAGUGGGGAAUAUUUGACAAUGGGCGCAAGCCUGAUGCAGCAACGCCGCGUGUAUGAAGAAGGUCUUCGGGUCGUAAAGUACUUUCAUCGGGGAGGCGUUACCCGCAGAAGAAGCACCGGCUAACUCCGUGCCAGCAGCCGCGGUAAUUC